AACGAACGCUGGCGGCAGGCCUAACACAUGCAAGUCGAACGCCCUAGCAAUAGGGAGUGGCGCACGGGUGCGUAACGCGUGGGAAUAUGCCCUUGACUGCGGGACAACAUCGGGAAACUGAUGCUAAUACCGCAUAAUGACUCCGGUCCAAAGAUUUAUCGGUCAAGGAUUAGCCCGCGUCUGAUUAGCUAGUUGGUGAGGUAAUGGCUCACCAAGGCGACGAUCAGUAGCUGGUCUGAGAGGAUGAUCAGCCACACUGGGACUGAGACACGGCCCAGACUCCUACGGGAGGCAGCAGUGAGGAAUAUUGGAUAAUGGGCGCAAGCCUGUUCCAGCCAUGCCGCGUGAGUGACGAAGGCCUUCGGGUUGUAAAGCUCUUUCAGAUGCGAAGAUAAUGACGGUAACAUCAGAAGAAGCCCCGGCUAAAUUCGUGCCAGCCGCCGCGUAA
rnacentral:rRNA from 1 species